AGGGUUUGAUUAUGGCUCAGAACGAACGCUGGCGGCAGGCCUAACACAUGCAAGUCGAGCGCGCCUUCGGGCGAGCGGCGGACGGGUUAGUAACGCGUGGGAACGUGCCCAGAUCUACGGAAUAGCCACUGGAAACGGUGAGUAAUACCGUAUACGCCCUUAGGGGGAAAGAUUUAUCGGAUUUGGAUCGGCCCGCGUUAGAUUAGGUAGUUGGUGGGGUAACGGCCUACCAAGCCUACGAUCUAUAGCUGGUUUUAGAGGAUGAUCAGCAACACUGGGACUGAGACACGGCCCAGACUCCUACGGGAGGCAGCAGUGGGGAAUCUUGGACAAUGGGGGCAACCCUGAUCCAGCCAUGCCGCGUGAGUGAAGAAGGCCCUAGGGUCGUAAAACUCUUUCGCCUGUGAUGAUAAUGACAGUAGCAGGUAAAGAAACCCCGGCUAACUCCGUGCCAGCCGCCGCGGUAAUUC
rnacentral:rRNA from 1 species